rnacentral:rRNA from 1 species
GACGAACGCUGGCGGCGUGCUUAACACAUGCAAGUCGAACGGAAAGGCCCUGCUUUUGUGGGGUGCUCGAGUGGCGAACGGGUGAGUAACACGUGAGUAACCUGCCCUUGACUUUGGGAUAACUUCAGGAAACUGGGGCUCAUACCGGAUAGGAGCUCCUGCUGCAUGUUGGGGGUUGGAAAGUUUCGGCGGUUGGGGCUGGACUCGCGGCUUAUCAGCUUGUUGGUGGGGUAGUGGCUUACCAAGGCUUUGACGGGUAGCCGGCCUGAGAGGGUGACCGGCCACAUUGGGACUGAGAUACGGACCAGACUCCUACGGGAGGCAGCAGUGGGGAAUAUUGCACAAUGGGCGGAAGCCUGAUGCAGCAACGCCGCGUGCGGGAUGACGGCCUUCGGGUUGUAAACCGCUUUCGCCUGUGACGAAGCGUGAGUGACGGUAAUGGGUAAAGAAGCACCGGCUAACUACGUG